rnacentral:rRNA from 1 species
AACGAACGCUGGCGGCAUGCCUAACACAUGCAAGUCGAACGAGACCUUCGGGUCUAGUGGCGCACGGGUGCGUAACGCGUGGGAACCUGCCCUUAGGUUCGGAAUAACUCCCCGAAAGGGGUGCUAAUACCGGAUAAUGUCUUCGGACCAAAGAUUUAUCGCCUUUGGAUGGGCCCGCGUUGGAUUAGCUAGUUGGUAGGGUAAAAGCCUACCAAGGCUACGAUCCAUAGCUGGACUGAGAGGAUGAUCAGCCACACUGGGACUGAGACACGGCCCAGACUCCUACGGGAGGCAGCAGUGGGGAAUAUUGGACAAUGGGCGAAAGCCUGAUCCAGCAAUGCCGCGUGAGUGAUGAAGGCCUUAGGGUUGUAAAGCUCUUUUACCCGGGAUGAUAAUGACAGUACCGGGAGAAUAAGCUCCGGCUAACUCCGUG